AUCCAGGGAAUAAUCUUUAUUUCUUUUACUGGAUCUGGCAUUGGAGGGAAUUUCUUUUUGUUUGCGAAGCAUGUGUACAUGUUUGUCAUGAGUUCCAAGAAAAAACCCAUAGACCUUAUUCUUAUCCGCCUGGCUUUUACUAAUGCAAUGACACUUUGUGUCAGAGGAAUCUCAGAUGUAGUGUCAGCUUUUCAUUUCAGUAACUUCCUAGAUAAUGCUGGUUGUAAAACUACAAUUUAUUUAGGGAAGGUAGCUUGGGGCCUUUCCGUCUGCACCACCUGUCUCCUCAGUGUGGUACAGGCCAUCACCAUCAGUCCCAAGACCACCUCGUGGUCAAACUACGGACUGCCUGGCAAGUUCUUCCUUAUCUCUUCCUCUUUUGGAUCUUUAAUUUUCUGAUAAGCUCCAACUUGCUCUGCUACCUUAGAGCAGUUAAUAGCAUGAAUAGGUCUGAAAUUAGACCACAUAUUAGUUAUUGCUAUAUGCCACCAUCUAAGCAAAGGGAAAGUUUGGUGGGUUUUUCUCACUCUCAUGGCUCUUUGUGAUAUCAUCUUUCAGAGUCUCAUGGGCUGGAGAAGUGGGUCCAUGGCUUAUCAUCUGUAUAAACAUCACAAGCAUGUCUCCUGCCUUCAGAGCUCCAGGUUUGCAAAUAAUUCCAGCCCAGAGAUCAGAGCUACUCAAAGUACUCUCAUUCUCAUGACCUGUUUCCUUUCUUUUAUUGGGCAGAUUUUAUUUUCUCCUUCUACAUAGGUUCCAGCUUGACAAAUGAUUUUAUGAUAUUAAGUAUGAAAAUAUUUCUAACAGUUGGUUAUGCCUGUGCCAGUCCCUUCAUGCUGAUCAGCAGGGAUUCCAUUUGGUUAACUGCUGGCACACUCACUAAGAAGU
rnacentral:lncRNA from 1 species